rnacentral:rRNA from 1 species
GAUGAACGCUGGCGGCGUGCCUAAUACGUGCAAGUCGAGCGAACAGACGAGGAGCUUGCUCCUCUGACGUUAGCGGCGGACGGGUGAGUAACACGUGGAUAACCUACCUAUAAGACUGGGAUAACUUCGGGAAACCGGAGCUAAUACCGGAUAAUAUAUUGAACCGCAUGGUUCAAUAGUGAAAGACGGUUUUGCUGUCACUUAUAGAUGGAUCCGCGCCGCAUUAGCUAGUUGGUAAGGUAACGGCUUACCAAGGCAACGAUGCGUAGCCGACCUGAGAGGGUGAUCGGCCACCCUGGAACUGAGACACGGUCCAGACUCCUACGGGAGGCAGCAGUAGGGAAUCUUCCGCAGUGGGCGAAAGCCUGACGGAGCAACGCCGCGUGAGUGAUGAAGGUCUUCGGAUCGUAAAACUCUGUUAUUAGGGAAGAACAAAUGUGUAAGUAACUAUGCACGUCUUGACGGUACCUAAUCAGAAAGCCACGGCUAACUACGUG